rnacentral:tRNA from 1 species
UCCCGGGUGGUCCAGUGGCUAGGACUCUGUGCUCCCGAUGCAGGGGCCUGGGUUCGAUCCCUAGUCAGGGAG